GACGAACGCUGGCGGCGUGCUUAACACAUGCAAGUCGAGCGGUAAGGCCCUUUCGGGGGUACACGAGCGGCGAACGGGUGAGUAACACGUGGGUGACCUGCCCUCAGCUCUGGGAUAAGCCUGGGAAACCGGGUCUAAUACUGGAUAUGACUCCAUGACGCAUGUUGUGGGGUGGAAAGCCUUGUGCGGCUGAGGAUGGGCCCGCGGCCUAUCAGCUUGUUGGUGGGGNGAUGGCCUACCAAGGCGACGACGGGUAGCCGGCCUGAGAGGGCGACCGGCCACAUUGGGACUGAGACACUGCCCAGACUCC
rnacentral:rRNA from 1 species